UUUUUUUCAAAUUUGUAACACAUUAAAUUAUAGUUUUAGAGGGGAGGGAGGGGUUAGGUAACUUAUAAAUAAGUACAUGACACAUGUAUCAACCCAUUGUAUAGCUAGGUAGACAAUUCCCAUAACAUUACCUAAUUAAAUAGUAUCAUUAGAUAAAACAAAAAUAAUAUAGUAUAUAGGUAUUAUACAAAUCGAAAUUGACACGUAAUAUUAAUUUUAGUCUUAGAUACUUGGUUGUUUCGAGUGAUGGUAAAUCAUAUUAUUUUUUUAAAUCUCCACUAUUUUAUCCCUAUGUAAUACUCAGUAUUAUAU